AUUUUUAUUAAGAAGUAAGUUUUUUUUUUAAUUAUAACAACGUGAUGAGGAGGUAAUUCAUCGUUACUUGCCGCAUGGCCCGAUGAAAAAAAAAAAACAAGGAUCAAAAAAUUUCGAAAUAACUGUGAUUCAAGUGGAAAUAUGAUUUCGGAUGCCAACUGAUUUGCGAGUUUGGAUGUUAUUUAUCAUUGCAAAUUUUUGACUCGGAGAUCGGCACGACUGGAGCUUCUGAUUGGAGUUAGCUUUGGUGAGAACCUUUUGAUGCUCAAGUUAGUAAUACCGAAUAGAUAGGAAGGAGUGAGUGAGAG
rnacentral:lncRNA from 1 species